rnacentral:rRNA from 1 species
CAAGGUUAAAACUCAAAUGAAUUGACGGGGGCCCGCACAAGCGGUGGAGCAUGUGGUUUAAUUCGAUGCAACGCGAAGAACCUUACCUACUCUUGACAUCCAGAGAACUUACCAGAGAUGNNUUGGUGCCUUCGGGAACUCUGAGACAGGUGCUGCAUGGCUGUCGUCAGCUCGUGUUGUGAAAUGUUGGGUUAAGUCCCGCAACGAGCGCAACCCUUAUCCUUUGUUGCCAGCGNUUNGGNCGGGAACUCAAAGGAGACUGCCAGUGAUAAACUGGAGGAAGGUGGGGAUGACGUCAAGUCAUCAUGGCCCUUACGAGUAGGGCUACACACGUGCUACAAUGGCGCAUACAAAGAGAAGCGACCUCGCGAGAGCAAGCGGACCUCAUAAAGUGCGUCGUAGUCCGGAUUGGAGUCUGCAACUCGACUCCAUGAAGUCGGAAUCG